AGUGAACGCUGGCGGUAGGCCUAACACAUGCAAGUCGAACGGCAGCACAGUAAGAGCUUGCUCUUACGGGUGGCGAGUGGCGGACGGGUGAGGAAUACAUCGGAAUCUACUUUUUCGUGGGGGAUAACGUAGGGAAACUUACGCUAAUACCGCAUACGACCUACGGGUGAAAGCAGGGGAUCUUCGGACCUUGCGCGAUUGAAUGAGCCGAUGUCGGAUUAGCUAGUUGGCGGGGUAAAGGCCCACCAAGGCGACGAUCCGUAGCUGGUCUGAGAGGAUGAUAGGCCACACUGGAACUGAGACACGGUCCAGACUCCUACGGGAGGCAGCAGUGGGGAAUAUUGGACAAUGGGCGCAAGCCUGAUCCAGCCAUACCGCGUGGGUGAAGAAGGCCUUCGGGUUGUAAAGCCCUUUUGUUGGGAAAGAAAAGCAGCAGGUUAACACCCCGCUGUUCUGACGGUACCCAAAGAAUAAGCACCGGCUAACUUCGUG
rnacentral:rRNA from 1 species